rnacentral:tRNA from 1 species
CGACGACGUGGCGCAGGAAGUGUGCAUCGCGGUGCUGUCGGCGCUGCCGCGCUACCGGGACAUGGGACGGCCGUUCGCGUCGUUCGUGUUCGGC